CCCGGAGCUGCCCGAGCCGGACCGGGCCGGGCCGGGGCCGCCGCACAGCGCAGCGAGGAGCUCUCCCCGCUAAGUGCCAUUUGCGUUUGGCUGCCUCGCACCGCCCGUCUCUCUUCUCUUCUUUCCUUCCCCCCUUCCUCCCCCUUUUGUCUCUCUUCUAUUUCUCUUUUUGCCCUCUUUCCCCCAUUCUCCCCCCCCCCCCCCCUUUUUUUCCCUCCGCAUCCCAUCUCUCAUAGUUCUGGGUCCAGCAGCUCUCGCCGAUCCGAAGUUGUUUUGCUCCGACAAGCACCUAGAGGUUAAUUUCUUGAAGUGCCCCAUGAAAAGCGAUUAGCCUGGCUCCCGAGAAGUAUUUUCUAAUUACGUGCAAGCCCUCGCUCUGCUGCUACCCCAUAAUUAAACCUCUUCAAGUCACCACGCGCGGGGCAGCACCUCAGGUAUGCGAGGGGCGGCGGAGGGCGAAGGGCUGAGCUGACGCCGAACCGAGGAGACAGGGAUGAUCUUUAUUUAUUGUUAUUAUUAUUUUAAUGAUUUUUUUUUUCUCCCCCUCCCCGGGGUUAUUUUUAUCUCCCUCUCUCCCAAAGGGUUCCAGCACCGCUUUUUCUCGCCGGGCUGCGGGAGCUCCGCCAGCGGCUGCCCGGCGCGCAGGGCUUUAUCCUGGGGAGAAAAUCACUGCGGGGCACUGGGAGAGGCGCUUUAAGAACAGGGGUUGGGGCCGCCCGUUCCCGGUCCCCGUUCUCCUCGCAGUUCAACCCCGUAUAUUCUAACGGGGCUCACGUAGGGGUCACCCCUUUAAAGAAAUCCUUUUCUUCCCUUCCUGCUCCCCGUUUCCUCCCUCUGACAUCCGGUGUUGGGGGCUGAGGGCUGAGGGCUGAGGACAGGGCACAGCGCGCCGCCUCCCGUCCCCUCGGCCGCCCGAGGUCCCCACUGAAAUUCGGGGUGGGCGAAGCGACCGCAGCCCCCUCGGAACCCCGGCAGCUUUCCUGGGAGCGGCGGCGGCGGGCAGAGCCCGGCCUCUCGGCUGCCCUUCCCCUCCGCAGCCGGGUUUUCACCGUAUUAUCGACAAUUAAAAAUAGAUUUUUAUUAUUGUUGUUGUUGAAAAUCACCACAUCUGUCAGGUUGCUCCCGUGCCAGGCGCGAUGCGACACAUCCAGAGCGACUGGUGCUUCCGAGCAGGGCCGGGCCGGGUUGUCGGUGGCAUCUCCCCAGCAGCGUUACAGAGAUUUUCCCAUGGCCGCGGGUGUGCCCCAGACAAACAGCUUGCAAGCCUUGCAGAACUUCUUCCUGUGCAGUCUGUGUUUGUGAGCUCAGGAGUAUUGCAACCCAUGGAACUCCA
rnacentral:lncRNA from 1 species